rnacentral:rRNA from 1 species
AACUUAAGGAAGAAAUUUACGCCCGCUGUAAAAUGCCAAGUUAAAAAUAAUUUUUUUGCCUUAAAACUUUUGACUCAUGAAAGCCAAGGAACAAACUAGGAUUAGAUACCCUACUAUGCUUGGCAGAAACACGGUUAAAACCCGCCAGAUUAUUACGAGUAAAAACUUAAAACUCAAAGGACUUGACGGUGUCCCACACACAACCUAGAGGAGCCUGUCCUAUAAUCGACAGUCCACGAAAAACCUCACCACCUCUUGCCAAACAAUCUAUAUACCGCCGUCGCAAGUCCACCUUUUGAGGGGAGAAAAGUGAACGCAACAGUCUUACACUAAUACGACAGGUCAAGGUGUAGUUUAUGGGGUGGUCAGAGAUGGGCUACAUUUCCUUAUUAAGGGAAUACCGACGGCUUARUGAAAACNCNCCUGAAGGUGGAUUUAGUAGUAAAAUAGAAUUAGCAAG